rnacentral:rRNA from 1 species
GACGAACGCUGGCGGCGUGCUUAACACAUGCAAGUCGAACGGAAAGGCCCUGCUUUUGUUGGUUGCUCGAGUGGCGAACGGGUGAGUAACACGUGAGUAACCUGCCCUUUACUUUGGGAUAACUUCAGGAAACUGUGGCUAAUACCGGAUAUGAGCUCCUGCUGCAUGGUGGGGGUUGGAAAGUUUCGGCGGUUGGGGAUGGACUCGCGGCUUAUCAGCUUGUUGGUGGGGUAGUGGCUUACCAAGGCUUUGACGGGUAGCCGGCCUGAGAGGGUGACCGGCCACAUUGGGACUGAGAUACGGCCCAGACUCCUACGGGAGGAAGCAGUGGGGAAUAUUGCAAAAUGGGCGGAAGCCUGAUGAAGAAACGCCGCGUGCGGGAUAACGGCCUUCGGGUUGUAACCCGCUUUCGCAUGUGACGAAGCGGGAGUGACGGUACUGGGUAAAGAAGCACCGGCUAACUACGUG